CGGCUCCUUGGCGGCGAUUCAUAAUGAUACUUCUCCGGAUCGCAUGGCCUUGGUGCCGGUGGACUGCAUCAUUCAGAUUUCUGCCCUUUCGACUUUCGGUGGUAGGAUAGCGGCCUACUAUGGGUUUCGACGGGUGAUUGGGAAUUAGGUUUCGAUUCCGGAGAGGGAGCCUGAGAAACGGCUACCACGUCGGAGGAAGGCAGCCGGCGUGCAAAUUCCCCAAUCCUGACAGGGGGGAGGUAGUGACAAUGAAUAACAAUACUGAGGGCCCUUUUGGGUCCUAUAAUUGGAAUGAGUACAGAUUUACAUCCCUUAACGAGUAACAAUUGGAGGUGCGAGUCUGGUGCCUGCAGCCGCGGUCAUUCCAGCUUCCAAUAGCGUAUAUUUAAAAGUUGUUGGUUGUUAAAAAGCUCGUAGUUGAAACUUCUGACCUUGGCUGGGUGGUCCGCUCUCACCGCGUGUACUGCUCGGCUGGGCCUUACCUCUUGGUGAGCCGGCGUGCCCUUCACUGGUGUGCGUCGGGGAACCAGGACUUUUACCUUGAGAAAAUUAGAGUGUUCAAAGCAGGCCUGCGCCUGAAUACAUUAGCAUGGAAUAAUAAAAUAGGACGUGCGGUUCUAUUUUGUUGGUUUCUAGAGUCGCCGUAAUGAUUAAUAGGGAUAGUUGGGGGCAUUGGUAUUGAGUCGCUAGAGGUGAAAUUCUUGGAUUGACUCAAGACCGACUACUGCGAAAGCAUUUGCCAAGGAUGUUUUCAUUAAUCAAGAACGAAGGUUAGGGGAUCGAAAACGAUCAGAUACCGUUGUAGUCUUAACAGUAAACUAUGCCGACUAGGGAUGGGCAACUC
rnacentral:rRNA from 1 species